rnacentral:lncRNA from 1 species
CUUCCACUCAAGUUUAUUAGGAGAUUGUUACAACUACUUUUUAAUUAGUUCUUGGUUAGUUGAGGGAUCAAGAAGGAUUCUUGAUUUCUUCAAGAAUAAAAAAAAUAUUAAAUAAGGGUUGGUUCAUUCAAGAAUUAAGAAAAAUAGAUCAAGGGUUGAUCCCUAUCCAGGCUUGGUUCAAGCCUAUUCAGACUUUGAGUUUAAGUGAGUUGUUUUAGUAGGAGCCAAUCC